CCUACGGGUGGCAGCAGUAGGGAAUCUUCCACAAUGGGCGCAAGCCUGAUGGAGCAACACCGCGUGAGUGAAGAAGGGUUUCCGCUCGUAAAGCUCUUUUGAUGGAGAAGAACGUGCGUGAGAGUAACCGUUCACGCAGUGACGGUAUUCAACCAGAACGUCACGGCUCACUACGUGCCAGCAGCCGAGGUAAUACGUAGGUGGCUAGCGUUAUCGGGAUUUAUUGGGCGUAAGGCGAGCGUAGGUGGGUGCUUAGGUCUGAUGUGAAAGCUUUCGGCUUAACCGGAGAAGUGCAUCGGAUACCGGGCGACUUGAGUACAGAAGAGGAAAGUGGAACUCGAGGUGUAGCGGUGGAAUGCGUAGAUAUAUGGAAGAACACCAGUGGCGAAGGCGGCUGUCUGGACUGCAACUGACGCUGAGGCUCGAAAGCAUGGGUAGCGAACAGGAUUAGAUACCCUAGUAGUC
rnacentral:rRNA from 1 species